CACACCGCCCGUCACACCAUGGGGAGUUGAUUGCACCAGAAGUAGGUAGCCUAACCGCAAGGGGGGCGCUUACCACGGUGUGAUCAAUGACUGGGGGUG
rnacentral:rRNA from 1 species